CUUCAGCGCCAGCUUUCUGCUUAGUUGACGGUUGCUGCUGUUUCCUGCCCGUGUUUAUUGGCACGGGAAGGAUGUCGGCAGAAGGGAUAGCAGCCAGGCAUUUCAGUAACAUGUACACUAUGAAAGAAAGAACCUCGGAGCAAAGCCUGGAGUGCAUCACACUCACUAAGCCCUAGGUGACUGGUAGAGGGUGCACAAGGGUGCACAUGCCCUCCCCCCCACAGGUGCCCUGCCUGAGGGCCAGCACCAACUCUUGGCGGGGCUGGUGCCCCCGAGCUGUUGGCAGCUUCUGCGGGUGCCCCCCCAGGUUCAGGAGGCACCAGUCACUCAUGCACUAAACUUCUGUUGCUGCUGUAGAAAGCAGCUGCAGGAACUAAUUGAGGUCUGGAAAACCUGCCUUAUAAUCAAAUUCUUUAGAGAAGGAUAAGGGGUGACUUGACCACAGACUACAAGGACCUCCGUGGAAAGAUUUCUAAUAGCAUUAGACUACUUGAUCUGUCAGGCAGAGGUAUUCACUACCAGUGACUAGAAGCUAGGCAAAUUCUGAGUACAAACAGAUUUUUAACUGUACCACUGAAGUGGUUGAACCACUGAAGAAAGGUAGUUAAGGAUGUGGGGGAUUAUUUGCUAUCUGCAGCAUACACCAGGGACUUGUACACCAGGCCACAAAUCGGAUACUCCUGGCUUUGGUGGAUAUUAUUGUUAGGGUGACAAUAUUUGAAUCUUAGAGAGUGCUGGAUUUGCAGCUGAAUACAAGGCAUGACCUGUGGCCUAGCAGACCUACAGAAUGAUAGCUAAGCCAGCCAUUUGCUUAUACUAAGUAACCAUCUAAACUGUGUCAACCAUUUUUCUGGAAAAAGCAGCAGUUAAGCCUGUGUGCUGUGAACCAGCUAUAGCAAGGAAUGAGAUAAGAUAUGGAGGCCCAUAAAAGGUGGAAGAUGGUACAAUCUGAGACAAAAACAGACUGGAAUGUGAAAAAAAAAAGUACUUAGUAACAGAAUCCAAGAUGAACAUAUGCAAAAAGGUGAAUGGUGAUUGGUGAAGAAACCUCCAGAAGUUUCCAGGUUUUGGUCAAAGUCCACCCAUUGAAGAAGAGAAGUCAAGGUCAUGCGCUCGUAGCAAAAAGGCAUGUAAAUGAAUGAAAUGCAUAGACAAUUCCAUGCUAAUGAAGCAAACAGUAAACAGAGGCAGAGCUUGAGAUAGGAGAAAUGGGUGGAACAUAAGGGAGGGUCAAGGGUAGAAUAAAUGUUAAUGAGUAAAAACCAAAGUGUAUAAAUGUGGGAAAAAACUAUCGUUCACUGCAUUUCCCCAGUUUGUUGGGUUUUUUGGAGCUAGUCCGAAGCUGUCUCCAUUCUGAAUAAAGCUGUUGUGAGCAAUGUGUGCUGGUGUUUGCUCCCUGCUUGUUCUGGCUAAUGAGUACCAGGAUCCAUGAGCAAUUGCAUCGUCGUGUCCCUAGUCUUUGGGCACCGCGUGGAAUCGGGGUCUAAUAUCUUGGCGUAGUUGGCAGGAUUUGACACACAUUUGCAGGGGACUGAUCAUUCCAAUCCCACCAGGGAUGAAAUCAUAACUGAAGAAGUUUGCUAAGUACAAGAAGAAAUCAAGCUUAACUGUGUUAUGUGUAGUGAUUGUGUUUUACUAAGUUUGUAUAAUGCUAUUGUUAUAAGUAAUUGUAAUGUCAACUAUGCUAGACUAUAAAAUGUAAAGCAAAAAUUUUGAUAAGUUAUGACAUACCUGAAGAGUGGCUACAAAAAUGAUAUGUUGUGCAGAGCAUCACCUCCAUUACCUGGCAGAGUUCAGCCAUGUUAAAGAUCAAGAAGGCUA